rnacentral:tRNA from 1 species
UGUGAUCCAAUGCUGAACAAUAAUUGCCUUCCAAGCAAUAGACCCGGGUUCGACUCCCGGCA